CUCUGCUGGAGUUUUGACACUUUUUACCCAACCGGUGAUUUUUAGACUCCCAAGGGGCCUUGUCCUGAAAAAUCAGUACAGACUGUUUAGGAAGUGGAAGGCCUUUCCGAGUGUGCUCUUCAUCACACAUCAUCUUACCCUCAGCUGCCAGCCACAGCCACAGCAAUGUGGGAUCCAAGCCACGUCUGUGACCUACACCACAGCCCACGGCAACGCUGGAUCCUCAACCCAUUGAGCGAGGCCAGGGAUCGAACCUGCCUCUUCAGGGGUUACCAGUCAGGUUCAUUUCCACUGAGCCACGACAGGAACUCCCCCUCUGCUGUAAAUUCACAGCAUUGACACCUCACUCGAGGCCCUUGGAACAUGCUUGUCCAUGUCCAUGAAGAAGAGUAUUGAACUUAGAAACCUGGGUUCAUCCUGGCACAGCCACUGGCUAUCUCUAUGACAUUGGGCACAUCCUCUAACUGCCUUGGGCUUCAGUGUCCUUACCUGGUAAGGACUCCUUACCAGGAGUCGUAAGGGUUACCUGACAGCGUACACAGAAAUCAACUUUGCCAAUGGAAAUACAAUCACAUUUCUCGCUUUCUGCUACCUUUCCUACUUGUCUCAGAGCUCUUGGAGGGAAGGACCGUGUCCUCAUCAUUUUUUUAUGCUACAAUUACUACUAUUGCAUUACCAUUCGCUCGUCAUCAUUAACAUAUUGCCAAUAAUAGUUAAUGUGUGUGGAGCAUGUAGAAUCAUGUCAGGCACCUUUCUAAGUACUCGAUAUGGAUUAAUUAAUUCUUCCAAUAACCCUAAGAGGUCCUGUAACCCUAAGAGGUCCUGUUAUUAGCCUACUUUAUGGAGAAAACUAUGUAUUUCUCAGAGCCUCCAAAGAAUGAGCCAAUGAAUGAAGGACUGAAUGAGACAGAAACUGCUAGCAACACCUACCAGGUGAUUAUUUUUCUCUCUUGCUUCUCUGCCCAAACUUGUCUUUCUUUUGAUCCCCUGAGGCAAAUGCAAAAUUAGGAAAAAGUCUUGCGUCAACUGAGACUGUGAAUGAUGAGUGGUCUCCUUGGGUCUUCAUUUAGGUCGGCUUCUCAUGAGGUGAGUGCCAGGAGGACACAGACUGUGCCUGUCUUGUUCUCUGCUGUUGCCACAGGGCCUGGAACAAUGUCUCGUGAUCAGUCCAUGUUCAUUGAAUAGGUGGACUGAGUGGCUUAGAAACAGCGCCUUCCCUGGCACCGAUAGAACAGAAACUGCUGACCACAGAGCCGGUCUUGUGUCUCGCUUUCCCAGGCAGUACUACGAGAUGCUCUACAACACGGCCGAUGAGCUCCUGAACCUGGUGGUGGACCAGGGCGUGAAGUACACGGAGCUGGAGUACAUCCACGCCCUGACCUUGCUGCACCGCAGCCAGACGGGGGUGGGAGACCAGACCACCCAGAACAUGCGGCUUCAGCGGCUCAAGGAGAUCAUCUGCGAGCAGGCGGCCAUCAAGCAAGCCACCAAGGAUAAGAAGAUAACUACAGUGUAACCGCCGCCCCGUGGAAGGGGGACAGGGGCACGGCUUGUUUUUGUCUCCUUAGUCAUACUCCUUUCUGGCUGUGUUAUUGGGUGUAGUCUGAGCUGACUUAGUUUUCUCGACACGGAUGCUCAAGUGGAGAGAAGGUAGAAGGAUUUUUUUUUUUUUUUUUCCGCUUUGGUUUUGGCUUUUCAUAUAAACUCUCAAGGGAAUUUGCAGUACAGAAUGUUGGGAUCGACCGUUUAUUGGAAUGCCGUCCAUUGCAAAGGGUCCGGGGGUGGGAUGGGAAGGAAGGUUGUAUGACAUUGGACUCAGAACAAGAUGCAUGCACGAUUACUAAUGCCCAGCCAUUUCGGAUAAGUAUAGAUUGUUGCCUAUGUAAACCUCUCAAUAGGGUUCUAUUACAUAAACAGUAGGGUUUUUAUGCUCUUGACCUUGUCCAUUGACAGUUCAGUGAAGCAAGUGCAUGUGCAUUGCUUUCUGUCACCAGGGCCCAUGGCUUCUCAGCUGGCGGUAGUUUUCAGCAAAUUUCCCCUUUGGGGCUGGGGGGAGGAAGUCCUCUUAUGUCAGACCUUGGGAGAGUCUUGUAUGCAGUAGCCUGGACACAGCUUAUGGAUUGGUUUGAUGCCUUUUUGUUUUUAUUUCUACUGUCUCAAAACUGAGAACCAGGAAAUGAAUGAUGAAAAUGCAAGAACAAAAGGUAAUUCAACCCUCUUCCUGAUUUUUUCCUCUACUCUCCAAGAGAAAAUGAUUGUUAGAGAAUUUUUAAUCUCACUGGAAAGAUUGUCUGGGUGUGACUGGUUCUUAAAUGCUCACCCUCCUUAUAAGCCCCAGGGUCUUUUUUUCUUUUUUUUUUCUUUUUGUCUGUUUCUUUCUUGCAUGUGUGUGUGUACUUUUUUUUUUUUAACAUAUUUGUUGAAUUAACAUAUAGUUGAUUUACAGUGUUGUACCAAUUUCACCCAAGGUCUUUCUCACCUUAGAAGGUACCCAAACUGGGUGCAGGGAAGGUAAAACCACCACGAUAUCCUUCCUCUGUGCAGCCACCAGCUGAGGAUGUUUCUGAGGUAUACUGGGCUGGCGUGGGAGCACGCUGCUCCUGGCACAUUUGCCUUCCCCACUGACCCCACAUCUCCAAGCCUUCUUGCUGCCUCUGGCUGUCAUAUCACAGAAGAAAGCAAUGCACUGACUGGGACACAGCUUGCAAACACAGGCAAGGGAGAGCUGAAAGGACUCGGACCAGAUGAGGUCAUGCCUCAUGCUCUGAUGGUCCAGAAUUUCGCACCUGUUUGUUCAACUUAGGUCUUGGUGGGAAAAGCAGAAAAUUAAAAAAUGUUUCGAGAAGCGUAGGUGUCGUGUAUUGUUUUUCUUGUGUUUAUUCAGCAAACAUUCCCUGAGAGCCUUACCCAAUGCUGCUGGACGUGGGAGCAGAAAUAAGAUAAUGAGAACCCUCUUUCCCCCUACAUCGAAGACAGCAUGGGAUCUGGACUCUGACCCAGAUCCCAAGAGGUGUGCACUUGGGGCUGGGUUGGAAAUCAAGCCAGUGGGGUAGCUGUGUAGGCAGCUGGAGGACAGUCUUCCAGGGGGUUCUGGAAGGAAUGUUGUAAAUCUAUGUGGCGUCAGAGGCCCAGGUGGGAAGAAGCUGAAUCUGUGUGGGAGACCAUCAUGGAAAAAUGUCCUAAGCAGCAUUGCUGGAGGUGAUCUCCCUGGAAGUGGGGGCGGGAGGCGGGAGACAGGGGGAGGUCAGUGCUGAUCGCCGUGGCCGUGGCCUGUGCCCAGAGCUUCCGUGCCUUGCCCCUGCCCUCUUCUGUCCUCCCUAGAAAAACAACCUUGGAGUGGUGACAGGGAGGCCAGAAGAGCCAGGGGUGGGCUGGGGGAAUUUAUAGGAGCAUUUUAUUGGCUCUGGAAAGGGAUGUGGGUUUUGACAGUCAAAGGCCAAGAUCACUGAGAACCAGCGGACAAAUGGUGAACAUGCUGCUUCAAGAGAUCAUUUCGGAAAGUAGACUCCCCGCUUUGCUUAUAGUAAUGACGGGAUUGAAAAAUGGUGAUUCUGCACAGAAAAAACAAUCUAGAGUUCUUUUUCCAAGACCUUCAAGGCCCACAUUUCUAUGCAAGAUGGUACAUCCGUCAUUAUUCGCCAACUGAUCAAGAAUAGCCAUUGCCACAGUCCGUGGGUGGUCAGGUGGAUGGAGAUGGCACAGCCACCUCAGGACCUGCCUUCCCUGGGGACACAGUGAGGAUUUCUUCUUGUUAUGGUCCUAGUUUGGGGAUAUUCUGUGUGACUGCUUGUGUGCUGCUCGAAGCCGUGACCGGAAAUCGCUAGAGAGCGCCAGACCCCCCGCGGGUGGAGGCCAGCAUGUGCUCACACCGAUAUGUAACCACAGGAGUUCAUUUCCAGCCAUGAAGACCACUCCCCAAAGGUCCUGUUGCAGCUUAAAGGGUCAGGAAAAUAGGCCUCCCCAGAAAGGGCACUAAAACAAAGCAAACUCUUGUCUUUCUCUCC
rnacentral:lncRNA from 1 species